rnacentral:rRNA from 1 species
AGAGUUUGAUCCUGGCUCAGAAUGAACGCUGGCGGCGUGCUUAACACAUGCAAGUCGAGCGAGGCCUGGGGGGCAACUCCUGGAGUCGAGCGGCGGACGGGUGAGUAACACGUGGGUAACCUGCCUGGAAGUGGGGAAUACCUCGGAGAAAUUCGAGCUAAUACCGCAUGACAUCUCCGGGACGAAAGUCCUGGCGAUCAAAGCGGGGUCGCAAGAUCUCGCGCUACCAGAUGGGCCCGCGCCCGAUUAGCUAGUUGGUGAGGUAACGGCUCACCAAGGCUUCGAUCGGUAACCGGCCUGAGAGGGCGAUCGGUCACACCGGAACUGAGACACGGUCCGGACUCCUACGGGAGGCAGCAGUGGGGAAUCUUGCGCAAUGGGCGAAAGCCUGACGCAGCAACGCCGCGUGGAGGAUGAAGGCCCUUGGGUUGUAAACUCCUGUCGGCUGGGAAGAAAUCGUUCGUGGCUCAUACCCACGGACGUUGACUGUACCAGCAAAGGAAGCCCCGGCUAACUCUGUGCCAGCAGCCGCGGUAAUACAGAGGGGGCUAGCGUUAUUCGGAAUUAUUGGGCGUAAAGGGCGCGUAGGCGGCCAUGCGUGUCUUCCGUGAAAUCCCUCGGCUUAACUGAGGACGUGCGGAAGAAACUGCAAGGCUCGAGUCCGGGAGAGGGGGGGUGGAAUUCCCAGGUAACGGGAAAUGCGUAAUAUUGGAG